CGGGGAUUGUACACACCGCCCGUCAAGUCACGAAAGCUGGCAACACCCGAAGUCAGUGGCCCAACCAUUUGGNGGGAGCUGCCGAAGGUGGGGUUGGUAAUUGGGACU
rnacentral:rRNA from 1 species